GAAUAUUGGACAAUGGGGGCAACCCUGAUCCAGCCAUGCCGCGUGUUUGAAGAAGGCCUUUAGGUUGUAAAGCCCUUUAAGCAGUGAAGAAGAAUCCAUGGUUAAUACCCAUGGACGAUGACAUUAGCUGCAGAAUAAGCACCGGCCAACUCCCUGCCAGCAGCCACGGUAAUACAGAGGGUGCAAGCGUUAAACGGAAUUACUGGGCGUAAAGCGAGCGUAGGUGGCUUGAUAAGUCAGAUAUGAAAGCCCCGGGCUUAACCUGGGAACUGCAUCUGAUACUGUUAGGCUAGAAUAGGUGAGAGGAAGGUAGAAUUCCAGGUGUAGCGGUGAAAUGCGUAGAGAUCUGGAGGAAUACCGAUGGCGAAGGCAGCCUUCUGGCAUCAUAUUGACACUGAGGUUCGAAAGCGUGGGUAGCAAAC
rnacentral:rRNA from 1 species